rnacentral:rRNA from 1 species
AGGAGGCAGCAGUGAGGAAUCUUGCGCAAUGGGGGAAACCCUGACGCAGCAACGCCGCGUGAGUGAGGAAGGUUUUCGGAUCGUAAAGCUCUGUCGGGUGGAAAGAAAGGUUUGGGGGCUAAUACCUCCCAUACUUGACGGUACCACCAAAGGAAGAACCGGCUAACUCCGUGCCAGCAGCCGCGGUAAUACGGGGGGUGCAAGCGUUGUUCGGAAUUAUUGGGCGUAAAGAGCGUGUAGGCGGCUUGAUAAGUCAGAUGUGAAAGCCCUGGGCUUAACCCUGGAGGUGCAUUUGAAACUGUCUCGCUCGAGUAAGGAAGGGGGAAGUGGAAUUCCUGGUGUAGAGGUGGAAUUCGUAGAUAUCAGGAGGAACACCGGUGGCGAAGGCGACUUCCUGGUCCUAUACUGACGCUGAGACGCGAGAGCGUGGGUAGCAAACAGGAUUAGAUACCCCUGUAGUCG